UUAAGCGACUAAGCGUACACGGUGGAUGCCCUGGCAGUCAGAGGCGAUGAAGGACGUGCUAAUCUGCGAUAAGCGUCGGUGAGGUGAUAUGAACCGUUAUAACCGGCGAUUUCCGAAUGGGGAAACCCAGUGUGUUUCGACACACUAUCAUUAACUGAAUCCAUAGGUUAAUGAGGCGAACCGGGGGAACUGAAACAUCUAAGUACCCCGAGGAAAAGAAAUCAACCGAGAUUCCCCCAGUAGCGGCGAGCGAACGGGGAGGAGCCCAGAGCCUGAAUCAGUGUGUGUGUUAGUGGAAGCGUCUGGAAAGGCGCGCGAUACAGGGUGACAGCCCCGUACACAAAAAUGCACAUAUUGUGAGCUCGAUGAGUAGGGCGGGACACGUGGUAUCCUGUCUGAAUAUGGGGGGACCAUCCUCCAAGGCUAAAUACUCCUGACUGACCGAUAGUGAACCAGUACCGUGAGGGAAAGGCGAAAAGAACCCCGGCGAGGGGAGUGAAAAAGAACCUGAAACCGUGUACGUACAAGCAGUGGGAGCCUCUUUAUGGGGUGACUGCGUACCUUUUGUAUAAUGGGUCAGCGACUUAUAUUCUGUAGCAAGGUUAACCGAAUAGGGGAGCCGAAGGGAAACCGAGUCUUAACUGGGCGUUAAGUUGCAGGGUAUAGACCCGAAACCCGGUGAUCUAGCCAUGGGCAGGUUGAAGGUUGGGUAACACUAACUGGAGGACCGAACCGACUAAUGUUGAAAAAUUAGCGGAUGACUUGUGGCUGGGGGUGAAAGGCCAAUCAAACCGGGAGAUAGCUGGUUCUCCCCGAAAGCUAUUUAGGUAGCGCCUCGUGAAUUCAUCUCCGGGGGUAGAGCACUGUUUCGGCAAGGGGGUCAUCCCGACUUACCAACCCGAUGCAAACUGCGAAUACCGGAGAAUGUUAUCACGGGAGACACACGGCGGGUGCUAACGUCCGUCGUGAAGAGGGAAACAACCCAGACCGCCAGCUAAGGUCCCAAAGUCAUGGUUAAGUGGGAAACGAUGUGGGAAGGCCCAGACAGCCAGGAUGUUGGCUUAGAAGCAGCCAUCAUUUAAAGAAAGCGUAAUAGCUCACUGGUCGAGUCGGCCUGCGCGGAAGAUGUAACGGGGCUAAACCAUGCACCGAAGCUGCGGCAGCGACACUAUGUGUUGUUGGGUAGGGGAGCGUUCUGUAAGCCUGUGAAGGUGGCCUGUGAGGGUUGCUGGAGGUAUCAGAAGUGCGAAUGCUGACAUAAGUAACGAUAAAGCGGGUGAAAAGCCCGCUCGCCGGAAGACCAAGGGUUCCUGUCCAACGUUAAUCGGGGCAGGGUGAGUCGACCCCUAAGGCGAGGCCGAAAGGCGUAGUCGAUGGGAAACAGGUUAAUAUUCCUGUACUUGGUGUUACUGCGAAGGGGGGACGGAGAAGGCUAUGUUGGCCGGGCGACGGUUGUCCCGGUUUAAGCGUGUAGGCUGGUUUUCCAGGCAAAUCCGGAAAACCAAGGCUGAGGCGUGAUGACGAGGCACUACGGUGCUGAAGCGACAAAUGCCCUGCUUCCAGGAAAAGCCUCUAAGCAUCAGGUAACAUCAAAUCGUACCCCAAACCGACACAGGUGGUCAGGUAGAGAAUACCAAGGCGCUUGAGAGAACUCGGGUGAAGGAACUAGGCAAAAUGGUGCCGUAACUUCGGGAGAAGGCACGCUGAUAUGUAGGUGAAGCGACUUGCUCGUGGAGCUGAAAUCAGUCGAAGAUACCAGCUGGCUGCAACUGUUUAUUAAAAACACAGCACUGUGCAAACACGAAAGUGGACGUAUACGGUGUGACGCCUGCCCGGUGCCGGAAGGUUAAUUGAUGGGGUUAGCGGCAACGCGAAGCUCUUGAUCGAAGCCCCGGUAAACGGCGGCCGUAACUAUAACGGUCCUAAGGUAGCGAAAUUCCUUGUCGGGUAAGUUCCGACCUGCACGAAUGGCGUAAUGAUGGCCAGGCUGUCUCCACCCGAGACUCAGUGAAAUUGAACUCGCUGUGAAGAUGCAGUGUACCCGCGGCAAGACGGAAAGACCCCGUGAACCUUUACUAUAGCUUGACACUGAACAUUGAGCCUUGAUGUGUAGGAUAGGUGGGAGGCUUUGAAGUGUGGACGCCAGUCUGCAUGGAGCCGACCUUGAAAUACCACCCUUUAAUGUUUGAUGUUCUAACGUUGGCCCGUAAUCCGGGUUGCGGACAGUGUCUGGUGGGUAGUUUGACUGGGGCGGUCUCCUCCUAAAGAGUAACGGAGGAGCACGAAGGUUGGCUAAUCCUGGUCGGAUAUCAGGAGGUUAGUGCAAUGGCAUAAGCCAGCUUGACUGCGAGCGUGACGGCGCGAGCAGGUGCGAAAGCAGGUCAUAGUGAUCCGGUGGUUCUG
rnacentral:rRNA from 1 species